rnacentral:rRNA from 1 species
CCUACGGGUGGCAGCAGUGAGGAAUAUUGGUCAAUGGGCGGGAGCCUGAACCAGCCAAGUCGCGUGAGGGAAGACGGUCCUAUGGAUUGUAAACCUCUUUAGGCGGGGAGCAAUGCCGGGCACGUGUGCCCGGAGGGAGAGUACCCGCAGAAUAAGCAUCGGCUAACUCCGUGCCAGCAGCCGCGGUAAUACGUAGGGAGCAAGCGUUGUCCGGAAUUACUGGGCGUAAAGGGCGCGUAGGUGGGCGCUUAAGUCAGGUGUGAAAACUCCGGGCUCAACCUGGAGACUGCACGUGAAACUGGGUGUCUUGAGGGCAGGAGAGGAAAGUGGAAUUCCUAGUGUAGCGGUGAAAUGCGUAGAUAUUAGGAGGAACACCAGUGGCGAAGGCGACUUUCUGGACUGUACCUGACGCUGAGGCGCGAAAGCGUGGGUAGCGAACGGGAUUAGAUACCCCUGUAGUC